UACAGAGGUCCCAAGCGUUGUUCGGAUUCAUUGGGCGUAAAGGGUGCGUAGGUGGCGCGCUAAGUCGGGUGUGAAAUCUCGGGGCUUAACUCCGAAACUGCAUUCGAUACUGCCGUGCUUGAGGACUGGAGAGGAGACUGGAAUUUACGGUGUAGCAGUGAAAUGCGUAGAUAUCGUAAGGAAGACCAGUGGCGAAGGCGGGUCUCUGGACAGUUCCUGACGCUGAGACACGAAGGCCAGGGGAGCAAACGGG
rnacentral:rRNA from 1 species